GGAAACAGGAAGCCUUUAAUGGAGAGCAUUGAUCACUCAUCAGGGAAGUCCUGCCGCACUGGGAGAAGGUGAAUCACUGCGCUGCCUUCAACUGGCUGCAUGACUGCAUAUUUAAGAAACACAGGAGAAAGCCUGGAAUGGAGGACCAUGUGGAAGCCAGGCCCAGCCGCCCAGCCAGGUCCCAGCUGAGACUGCAGCCGACUGCAGCCAACUGCAGCCACGUGAGGGACCAGUCGAGAACACUGGAAGAAAGACCAGUGAGCCCUCAGACUCAUGAGAAAGCAUGUGUCUUUGUCUGAAGCACUAAGCUGUGGGGUGUUUUGUCAUGCAGCAAUCAAUGGCGGAUACAGAUAUUGACCCCAUUUCAUCCACACGGGCCAAGUGAAGCUUAGAGGCAGCUUCGGCAAACAGAUCAUAGCUUUCUACAAAUGAAGAAACUGGAAUUAAGAAAUAAUGACUUUUCUGUGCUCAAACAGCUGUUAAAGUACAACCAGACUGAAGAUCUGCCAGUUUGGGGACCUUAUGGAAAUCACCUUUAUUUAAACCCCUCUUUUCUUAUCUAUAAAAUAGAAAUAAUAACAAUAUACCUGCCUUUCACAUCUGAUGAAACGAGCAAAUAAAAUUUUGUAAUGGAAU
rnacentral:lncRNA from 10 species